AUCUCCCUCAGAGGCUUCCAA
rnacentral:miRNA from 2 species